rnacentral:rRNA from 1 species
UACGUAGGUGGCAAGCGUUACUCGGAAUCACUAGGCGUAAAGCGCAGGUAGGCGGUUCGGUAAGUCUCUUGUGAAAGCUCCCGGCUCAACUGGGAGAGGUCAAGGGAAACUGCCGGGCUAGAGUGUGGCAGAGGAAGCUGGAAUUCCCGGUGUAGCGGUGAAAUGCGUAGAGAUCGGGAGGAAUACCUAUGGCGAAAGCAGGCUUCUGGGCCAUCACUGACACUGAUCUGCGAAAGCUAGGGGAGCAAACAGG